ACACUUUUCGGUGUGCAGGCGCACGGGCUGCUUGACAAGGUUGAGUCCAUUUAUUGCCCUCAUCUGAAAUGGAGACUGUGUCUGCUGUCAUUUUUUAUAAAGAAACAUACCGUUCCUUCCGUUAAACUCAUUUAACAACCUGUUUAAGCUGAUUUAAAUGAAUCGGUAGACUUUGGACAUACACAAAUAAUAGCCAUGGAGAAGAGGUCAUACUGCUGGUUUGUGAUCUUUUGUUUAAUUGUAGCUGCAAAUCUGAGCGUGUUGUCAUAUACACACAUUUGAAAGGAAUUGGCGAUAAAACUCAAAGAUGACAUAGAGCUCUCUAAAGCACAAAUCAAAAAAGUAGAAUUAAGUAUAAUACAUUUUGAAUCGGCACUUAAAUAUGCGAAGAAGCGAUUGAACACCACUGGAAAUGAGGUUAAGAAUCUUGAGGUUGAGCUGAAGGAAUUAGCUGUCUUUCAGCAGGACAAAGCCAAAAAGGUUAAAGAAUGCAAGUAUUUUUUGGAGAGCGUCAAAACUGAACUUGACAUAAGGGACAAGGAGAAGACUGACAAUGAUGGUGCAUUUGCUGCUCUUCAGGACAAGUGGAAUGCAACAAGUAAUGGCUUUAAACAGCAGCUCAACAGGCUUAGUCCUCUUUGUGAAUAUUUGAAGAACGGUACAGAUGCAAAUGAGCUUUGCCCUCCAGUUCAUAAUUACACUUUAGGAGCUACGGUAUAGUCUUGAGAAGAACACCAGCAAUCCAUAUCCAAGACAGUGUUUUAAAAAGGAAAUCCUAAAAUUCAAGUUACACAUUUGUGGCCUCAUUUACAAUAAAUCCUUAAAUACCUAAUUAUCUAUAUUAGCUUUGUGUACUCAUUAAUGAAAAUGAACCUUUACUUACUAUUCUAUUAAUGUGUGCAUUUACAUCUCUACACUAGACAUUCUGGGUUACCUUUAACAUUUUUAUUGCAGUCCUUUGUGUAAUUGAGUCUUUAUGAUAAAUUGUGUGUUAUAUUAUACCUAAAUUGUAAACUGUUUUGGACAAAAGCAUCUGCUACAUGAAUAAAAGUAACAGUCAAUUUAUGAAUAUUCUCAAAAACAACUGAAGAUGAAGAUUACAUUUGUAUUUAGUCAGUUUUAUUACAGGUCUUAAAAACAUCAGAGAGUAUUAAUAUAUUUUGACUUAGUAUAACAGUUGCUUCAGUAUGAAUACAGUAUCUUCAUUGGUCUGGAUAAAUGGCCUAGUGAAAAUCUUAUUUAAUCAGUGAAUCCUAUGAUUGUUUAUACAGUGAUAAGUUUUCAUGAUAUAUGAUUUGUGAUAUAUUCAAAUGAAAUUAAAAAAUGCAUUUCUUAAAGGAAUAUUCCAGGUUCAAGUUAAGCUCAAUCGACAGCAUUUGUUGCAUAGUGUUUAUUACUACAAAAAUAAUUUGGACUUCUCCCUCCUUUUCUUAAAAAAAAAGCAAAAAUUGAAGUAAAAGUGAGGCACUUAUGAUGGAAGGGAAUGGAGCACAUUUUUGGAGGGUUUAAAGGCAAAAAUGUGAAGCUUAUCAUUUUAUAAAAGCACUUACAUUAUUUCUUCUGUUAAAACUUGUGUAUUUUUUGAGCUGUUAAGUUGUUAAAAUUGUCAUUUUAGGGUUUCUGGUGUUAUGUCGUCAUGGCAACGAAGUUGUAAAAUUGAAUAUAACUUUGCACAGAAAAAGUUCUUAAGUGAUUUUAUCACACUUAAGGCAUGUUAACAUGCAUAUUGUUUACGUCUUGUGGCUAUACUUUUGAAAACAGUAUUUUAACAUUUACAGAUUGGCCCCAUUCACUUCCAUUGUAAGUGCCUCAUUGUAACCCAGAGUUUUGCUUUUUUUGCUUUUUUUUUUU